GACGAACGCUGGCGGCGUGGAUUAGGCAUGCAAGUCGAACGGUAUCAUCCUUUCGGGGGUGAGAGAGUGGCGAACUGGUGAGUAACACGUAGGUUAUCUACCCUCAAGACGGGGACAACCCAGGGAAACUUGGGCUAAUACCGGAUGUGAGCAACUUUUUAGUUGUUUGAAAGGUGGCGUAAGCUGUCGCUUGGGGAUGAGCCUGCGUCCUAUUAGUUAGUUGGUGAGGUAACGGCUCACCUAGGCAAUGAUAGGUAGGCGGCCUUAACGGGUGGUCGCCCACACUGGGAUUGAGAUACGGCCCAGACUCCUACGGGAGGCAGCAGUCGAGAAUAGUCUACAAUGGUCGGAAGACUGAUAGUGCGACGCCGCGUGAACGAUGAAUCCCUUCGGGGUGUAAAGUUCUUUUAUAUGUGAGCAGUGCUUCUUAUAUUAACAAUAUGGGGAGAGAGAUAUUAGCAUAUGAAUAAGAACGGCUAACUCCGUGCCAGCAGCCGCGGUAAACUCGU
rnacentral:rRNA from 1 species